GUUCCCAAUGAUGCUUGAAAUUUUUAAACCAUGCUAAUGCUGAUAAUCCUGUGAUUAUACAGUGUCCUCGAUUUCUUCUGAGGGAACU